UAGUAGGCGGGGUAACGGCCCACCUAGUCUUCGAUGGAUAGGGGUUCUGAGAGGAAGGUCCCCCACAUUGGAACUGAGACACGGUCCAAACUCCUACGGGAGGCAGCAGUGAGGAAUAUUGGUCAAUGGCCGAGAGGCUGAACCAGCCAAGUCGCGUGAGGGAUGAAGGUUCUAUGGAUCGUAAACCUCUUUUAUAAGGGAAUAAAGUGCGGGACGUGUCCCGUUUUGUAUGUACCUUAUGAAUAAGGAUCGGCUAACUCCGUGCCAGCAGCCGCGGUAAUACGGAGGAUCCGAGCGUUAUCCGGAUUUAUUGGGUUUAAAGGGUGCGUAGGCGGCCUUUUAAGUCAGCGGUGAAAGUCUGUGGCUCAACCAUAGAAUUGCCGUUGAAACUGGGGGGCUUGAGUAUGUUUGAGGCAGGCGGAAUGCGUGGUGUAGCGGUGAAAUGCAUAGAUAUCACGCAGAACCCCGAUUGCGAAGGCAGCCUGCUAAGCUGCAACUGACAUUGAGGCUCGAAAGUGUGGGUAUCAAACAGGAUUAGAUACCCUGGUAGUCCACGCAGUAAACGAUGAUCACUAGCUGUUUGCGAUACAC
rnacentral:rRNA from 1 species